rnacentral:rRNA from 1 species
GAUUCCUUUAGUAAUGGCGAAUGAAGAAGGAGUAGCUCAACAUGAAAAUCUGGGCAUCUGGCCUUGAAUUGUAGUUUGAAGAUGCAUUUGCCAAUGGACAUGAUAAUGAAAGCCUUUUGGGAAAAAGCAUCAACGAGGGUGAGAAUCCUUCUUGACAUUUCAAUUGUCCAUGUACGGUGUGCAUUGAAGAUUCACGUUCCUUGGGAUUUGAACGCAAACUUGUUGGUAAAUUUCAUUUAAAGCUAAAUAUUGGUUUGAGACCGAUAGAAAACAAGUACCAUGAGGGAAAAGUGAAAAGGACUUUGAAAAGAAAGUUAAAAGUGCUUGAAAUUGCUGAAGAGGAAGCGGGUGUAUUUCGCACGCAAUUCUCAAGAUUGUUGCGCAUAUCUCUGAUACCUUGUUGUCUUGAUUUAAUUGCAGCAAUAAGUUAUAUUUGUGAAUGCGCAAUGUUGCUUGUGUUUUGUGCCUUCAUCGAUUCACAGCCAUAGAAACAAUCUAAACAUGAAUCUUUGCUCUUGUGCAAAAGAACAUUUAGGUUCAGAUUUAGCUUGUGGAUCGCUCUUAAUAUUGUUGAUUGCUUAAUCGUCCUUGCGCCUUGCGUGCGGGAUGAUUUCACGACAUGAAAAUGAUGGCCAAAGAAAUACAUUCGACCCGUCUUGAAACACGGACCAAGGAGUUUAACACAUGUGCAAGUUUGGGGUGUGAUGCUUCUUUGCGUAAUGAAAAUGAUAUUUGGUAUAUUCUUGCACCAAUAACCAACCGCUCAAUUGUGAGAGGUUUGAGUACGAGCAUAUUUGUUAAGACCCGAAAGAUGGUGAACUAUGCCUGGG